rnacentral:rRNA from 1 species
GGCUUGUUGAUGAUAAUUUCAAGUUUGACCUGCCCAGUGAGGAGUUAAACGGCCGCGGUAUAUUGACCGUGCAAAGGUAGCAUAAUCAUUAGUUUUUUAAUUGAAAGCUUGUAUGAAAGGUUGGAUGAGAAAAAGACUGUCUCUAUAAAAAUUUAUUAGAAUUUUAUUUUUAAGUAAAAAAGCUUAAAUUGAAAUAGAAGACGAGAAGACCCUAUAGAGUUUUAUAUUUGAAUGAAUAAUAAAUUUUUAGGAAAGAGAAAAUUUAUUAUAUAUGUAAGUAUUUUGUUGGGGUGAUAGAAAAAUUAGGCGAACUUUUUUUGUAUAGGUACAUUUAUUUGUGAGUAUAUGAUCCUAAAUUUUAGAUUAUAAGAUUAAAUUACCUUAGGGAUAACAGCGUAAUUUUUUUUAGAGUUCUUAUCGAAUAAAAGGAUUGCGACCUCGAUGUUGGAUUAAAAUUAAUUAUUGGUGGAGAGGCUAAUAAAUUAGGUCUGUUCGACCUUUAAAAUUUUACAUGAUCUGAGUUUAAACCGGCGUGAG